rnacentral:rRNA from 1 species
UACAGAGGGUGCAAGCGUUAAUCGGAAUUACUGGGCGUAAAGCGUGCGUAGACGGUUAUGUAAGUCAGAUGUGAAAGCCCAGGGCUCAACCUUGGAAUUGCAUUUGAGACUGCAUAGCUAGGGUGCGGAAGAGGGAAGCGGAAUUUCCGGUGUAGCGGUGAAAUGCGUAGAUAUCGGAAGGUACACCAGUGGCGAAAGCGGCUUCCUGGUCCAGCACCGACGUUCAGGCACGAAAGCGUGGGGAGCAAACAGG